AUUGAACGCUGGCGGCAGGCCUAACACAUGCAAGUCGAGCGGAUGAAGGGAGCUUGCUCCUGGAUUCAGCGGCGGACGGGUGAGUAAUGCCUAGGAAUCUGCCUGGUAGUGGGGGACAACGUUUCGAAAGGAACGCUAAUACCGCAUACGUCCUACGGGAGAAAGCAGGGGACCUUCGGGCCUUGCGCUAUCAGAUGAGCCUAGGUCGGAUUAGCUAGUUGGUGAGGUAAAGGCUCACCAAGGCGACGAUCCGUAACUGGUCUGAGAGGAUGAUCAGUCACACUGGAACUGAGACACGGUCCAGACUCCUACGGGAGGCAGCAGUGGGGAAUAUUGGACAAUGGGCGAAAGCCUGAUCCAGCCAUGCCGCGUGUGUGAAGAAGGUCUUCGGAUUGUAAAGCACUUUAAGUCGGGAGGAAGGGUUGUAGAUUAAUACUCUGCAAUUUUGACGUUACCGACAGAAUAAGCACCGGCUAACUCUGUGCCAGCAGCCGCAGUAA
rnacentral:rRNA from 1 species